CCUACGGGAGGCAGCAGUAGGGAAUAUUGCUCAAUGGGGGAAACCCUGAAGCAGCAACGCCGCGUGGAGGAUGAAGGUUUUCGGAGUGUAAACUCCUUUUGUUAGAGAAGAUAAUGACGGUAUCUAACGAAUAAGCACCGGCUAACUCCGUGCCAGCAGCCGCGGUAAUACGGAGGGUGCAAGCGUUACUCGGAAUCACUGGGCGUAAGGAGCGCGUAGGCGGGAUAGCAAGUCAGAUGUGAAAUCCUAUGGCUUAACCAUAGAACUGCAUUUGAAACUGUUAUUCUAGAGUAUGGGAGAGGUAGGUGGAAUUCUUGGUGUAGGGGUAAAAUCCGUAGAGAUCAAGAGGAAUACUCAUUGCGAAGGCGACCUGCUAGAACAUAACUGACGCUGAUGCGCGAAAGCGUGGGGAGCAAACAGGAUUAGAUACCCCAGUAGUC
rnacentral:rRNA from 1 species